ncrna:Shewanella amazonensis SB2B TwoGGAY RNA
UGCCGGAGGAAAAUGUCUUCAAUAGCAAGCUCCGUCAGGGACGACGGAGCAGGCACCGUUGAGCCAUGGAUGGUGAGUCGGUGCCGGUUGCGUGCAUUGAAGGCAUUUUACGCAGGGU